rnacentral:rRNA from 1 species
GACGAACGCUGGCGGCGUGCUUAACACAUGCAAGUCGAGCGGAGCGGCGAACGGGUGAGUAACGCGUGAGUAACUGCCCCCCUCCCUGGGACAACAGUUGGAAACGGCUGCUAAUACCGGAUAGUGGGGGAUGACUCGCGUCCUAUCAGCUUGGUGGUGGGGUAGUGGCCAACCAAGGCGACGACGGGUAGCCGGCCGGAGAGGGCGACCGGCCAGGAAGGGAGAAGGUACGGCACAAAACACUACGGGGGGCAGCAGUAGGGAUUAUAGCACAAUGGGGGAAACCCAGAUGCAGGAACGCCGCGUGCGGGAUGACGGACUUCGAGUUGUAAACCGAAAUCAGCAAUGACACGGUAGUAGCAGGAGAAGCACCGGCAAGCUACGGGCCGGCCGCCACGGUAAUAC